AUCGGGCUUCCUGUCUCUUCAUUUAAGCACGACUCUGCAGAAGGAACAAAGCACCCUCCCCCUGGGCUCCUGGUUGCAGAGCUCCAAGUCCUCACACAGAUACACCUGUUUGAGAAGCAGCGGGCAAGAAAGACGCAAGCCCAGAGUGGCGCGAUUUCGGCUCACUGCCACCUCUGCCUCCUGGGUUCAUGCCAUUCUCCUGCCUCAGCCUCCCGAGUAGCUGGGACUACAGGCCCUGCCAUUUCUGCGGGCUCAGGUCCCUACUGGCUCAGGCCCCUGCCUACCUCAGCAAGGCCACAAUGAACCAGGGAAUCCCUUUUAGGCACUUGCUUCUGGUGCUGCAACUCGUGCUACUCCCAGCAGCCACUCCGGGAAAGAAAGUGGUGCUGGGCAAAAAAGGGGAUACAGUGGAACUGACCUGUACAGCUUCCCAGAAGAAGAGCAUACAAUUCCACUGGAAAAACUCCAAUCAGACAAAGAUUCUGGGAAAUCAGGGCUCCUUCUUAACUAAAGGUCCAUCCAAGCUGAGCAAUCGCGCUGACUCAAGAAGAAGCCUUUGGGACCAAGGAAACUUUCCCCUGAUCAUCAAGAAUCUUAAGAUAGAA
rnacentral:sRNA from 1 species